GCAGCUUGGUGGUAGAGGGUCUUGCUUUGCAUGCAGAGGGUCUCAGGUUCAAUCCCUGACAUCUCCA